rnacentral:rRNA from 1 species
AACGAACGCUGGCGGCAUGCCUAACACAUGCAAGUCGAACGAGACCUUCGGGUCUUGUGGCGCACGAGUGCGUAACGCGUGGGAACCUUCCCUUAGGUUCGGAAUAACUCCCCGACAGGGGUGCUAAUACCGGAUAAUAUCUUCUGACCAAAGAUUUAUCGCCUUUGGAUGUGCCCGCGUUGGAUUAGCUAGUUGGUAGGGUAAAAGCCUACUAAGGCGCCGAUCCAUAGCUGGGCUGAGAGGAUGAUCAGCCACACUGGGACUGAGACACGGCCCAGACUCCUACGGGAGGCAGCAGUGGGGAAUAUAGGACAAUGGGCGAAAGCCUGAUCCAGCAAUGCCGCGUGAGUGAUGAAGGCCUUAGGGUUGUAAAGCUCUUUUAACCGGGAUGAUAAUGACAGUACCGGGAGAAUAAGCUCCGGCUAACUCCGUG